UUUCAAUGUCCUGGUACGGUCCUGAUUAGAUGACAGACAAUCUCCCGGGGAUCCGAACCAACCAUGCCGGAAAAUGUUGCAGGCGGCACAAUGCUCUCCACAGUGUCCUCGGUGUGAACCCGCUUUUAUCCGCACAAAGAAUUGCGAGCCAAGAGAGAAAUCUGAAAAAGUCUUGUUUUCAAUCUCUGGGAAAUGUCGGCGCUCGCUGCGUGGUGAAUGUUGGAUCCUGGUUUGGCUCUGGCGCCGGCUGCGGGUCAUCUGUAGGAGUCUGGCAGUCGUUUUUUUUUCCCUGCGAGGUUCUUGCAGUCCUGUGACCUCCCUCAACCUCUUCUGGCGUUUUCACGCCAUCUCCGCCGCGCUCUUGACAAUGCGCUGCGAGGCAAAACAAACCUUUGGAGUAUGUCGACGUGUUCCACCGCGGAGGAGCUGAACUACCUGAGCAACUUCUGCUACGCCACGAGAGGCGAGGUGCUUCCAACUUCUGACAAAUCGGUCUAUGGUGGGAAGGAUGUCGAAGGGAUGGAUGCUAAUGAGACACCUGCUGGAGUCAUCGCAAGUCCUCGCAGGCCAUUGAUGUCAGAAAGAGUUCGCCUGCCGCCUCGUCAGACCUGAUCGGAUGCCUCUGGAAGCCAGGAUUGCACGGCC